rnacentral:sRNA from 1 species
UCCCGUUCCUUACGCGAUUUCGGCGUGUUUGGAAUUUAUCCCAGGUUGCGUUGUAGACGCGUUGGGCGGGCUGUUUUUGGACCUCCUCUCAUGAUUAUCAACGUGUUUUGAGUGUCCCCUUCCUUACACGAUUUUCAGCGUGUUUGGAAUUUAUCUUAGGUUGCGUGGAACGCGCUUCUGAUUGAUUUUCUUUGUUCUUCCUCCACUCACGAGUCCAGCGUGGU